rnacentral:rRNA from 1 species
GACGAACGCUGGCGGCGUGCUUAACACAUGCAAGUCGAACGGUGAAGGGACUGGUUUUGCUGGUCCUGGAUGAGUGGCGAACGGGUGAGUAACACGUGAGUAACCUGCCCCCUUCUUCUGGAUAACCGCAUGAAAGUGUGGCUAAUACGGGAUAUUCUGGGUCUGUCGCAUGGUGGGCCUGGGAAAGAUUGCGCCUUUUUUGGUGUUUUUGGUGGGGGAUGGGCUCGCGGCCUAUCAGCUUGUUGGUGGGGUGAUGGCCUACCAAGGCGGUGACGGGUAGCCGGGCUGAGAGGGUGGACGGUCACACUGGGACUGAGACACGGCCCAGACUCCUACGGGAGGCAGCAGUGGGGAAUAUUGCACAAUGGGCGCAAGCCUGAUGCAGCGACGCCGCGUGAGGGAUGGAGGCCUUCGGGUUGGGAACCUCUUUCGCCAGUGAAGCAGGCCUGCCUCUUUUUGUGGGUGGGUUGACGGUAGCUGGAGAAGAAGCGCCGGCUAACUACGUG